AUUCAUUUUUGUUUAAAAGUUAUAUUUAAAGAUCAUAUUGUAUGGUAUUGAUGAUUAUAUUGUAUUGUAUGUUGUUUGUUAUUUCCUACAGUUAUUGAAAUUAAACAUUUACAUAGUGGUAACCUAAAGUAAAAUAAGCAGUUUUAAAAGCCGGGUUACACAGAACUGUAGUUUAAAAAAUUGAUAAUUUGAUAAUAAUAUAUACGUUAUCUUCUUUGUUGCACAUUCCAAACAGACACUAUCAUAUUCAUCCAUAUAUUAUUACUGGUGCCUGAAACAGCCUCCCAUCUACUCUAUUAAUCUACUGAGAAUUUAUAAAUCCUUCCACAACGUUUGGCUUUAUUUGCAUGUCAACUAUAUACUAACAUUGUCCUUCAUAUUUUACAAGAUAAUACUCUUUCACGCAUUUACACAAUUUACAUUGGCCGUUGAAUAACCAUUCGAAGAAUACAACACAUACAGAUCUAUAACUUAUGUAUAACAUCGCCAUAAUAAUAACAUAUUGUAAAUACUUAAUAUUUUCACAGUUUGCUCUAGAUGAAUAAUUGUAUUUUGUUCACAAACAGCCACUUCCGGUUACCCCUGUGACAAGUGUGGCCGGAGGUACAAGUAUCGCGAGAACCUAAGCAGACACCGGAACCACGAGUGUGGAGUAGAGCCUCGCUUCCAUUGUCAACUCUGCAAGUUCAAGACCAAACAGAAGAGCAGUCUCAAGAUGCAUGUCAUCACUAAACAUAGUGAUGCCUGUUAAUUAAUUAUUAACACGAAGUCUUUGAAGUAGCCGUGAGGUGAGUAGAGAUACUGAUGACAAUGUGACGCGUACAAGCAUGAAACAUGCAAGCGUCAUCGAGUCUAUUAUGUCCACGAUCCCCAGUCUGCACUAACCGACUUCUAAGACUAAUCGUGUUCGUUCUCUCAAGUAGUCGUCCUGUGGUCACUAGCAUCACUGUAAAAAUCAUCGUCACGUUAUAAGACAAUGUAAUUUAAAGAUAAAAUUAUUUACAGUAUUUAAAGAUUAGUGAAAUUAAUAUUAAUUAUCGAUCUAUCGCAAUUAGAAGUAACUACGCAAUAAUAAGAUAGUCGUGAGUACGUUUUUAAGAAUAGAUUUAGAAAGCUCUUACUAAUAACCUCUUCUCUCACGAAAUCAUUAGUGUAUUCUCUCAACUCAUGGCUACUUCCAAAUGUUUCUUUCAGUUGUCUUUAGGAUAUUAGUGACUAUGUUAUUAUUGUUAUGUAUUAUUAUUUCUCUUUAAUAAUUUACUGUCUUUAGUUCUAUUAUUUCCUUGUAGCUUAGACUAUUUUAAUUGUGAUUUUAAAUUAUUACAUACAAAGAUGAAUUUUUUAGCCAUCAUAUAUCUUUGUUUUUAGUAACAAUAUAGUAAUUAUAUCAUAAUGCGUACAAUUUGAUAAAGUAGAAAACUUCUUAGGUUUUUCACAUUAAAUAAAAAUUGCAUUUAGUCAAAUUUUAAAGGUUUAUAAAAUAAUUUUAAUUUAUUCUUUUAUUAUUUGAACUUGCUAGGGUAGUAGGAAUAUAGAGUGUUUAAGUUGAAAUUCGAUUAAUGUAAUAUUUUAGUGUUAAUUGAGUCAGUUUUAAUCUUUGAAUUCAGUCUACAGACGUACAGUAUUUGUUAAUUUGUGCUUUCCUAUGCCCGAUUUACUAAAACAAUAUAGAAAGUAUAUAUGUAAUUAAUUCAUAGUGGUAAAUAUAUUAGUUAUGAUUUAAUAUAUAUUUAAGUUAUAUUAUAAUUUCAUUAAUUGGUAUACAUCACACUUUGUCAAAUCAAGGACAAGAGAUUGACUUGUUUUGAAAAGCCAUAGUUAUUCUACAAGAACAUAGUCGCCUAAUCAUCUUCCAGACCCUACUAACUUUACUUUUGGCAUAUGAAAAGUAAGUCCGCAAUGAUACUAUAUUGUCCACUUUAAUAAGUUACUGUUUGACUGUUUUUUUUAAAUAUAUCUAUAAGAAGCUUAAUAAAUUUAUCUUAAAUUACUUCUAUUUUAAGUAUAAACCUAAAUUCCCUGUUAUCAUAAAUGUUAUAAUCAAUAAUAUUUCCAUAUUGUUUGCACGUGUACCAACAUUACAGUUUUCUAAUAUCACAUUUCUAGUUAUAUUUAUAAUUACAAUAGUGAUAGCAAUUUUUAUGAAUCAGAGUAUAAAUAAAUUUGUGAUGAAAAAAUAGUAAUAAUGUUGUAAAUAUAUUUCCACUUCGUCUUUAAAUAGUCCAACGAAAACUAAAUCAAAAACUUUAAGAGGGAAUUGUCUGUUUUUAAAUAUUUUUCUCCUCUCCCAAAUGAAGUAUUGGAUGCAAAAACAUGUCAAUGCCUGAUAUGCGAUCCAUGAAAUGAAAGAACAAGAACAGAGUCCAAACUGUUAGAAUGUAGGCUACUUUUGUAACCGUAUAGAAGUGUAAGAAAUUUAAACUGUAGUUUUCUGUGUGUGUUUUAUAAAGUAUACCUAAUUUGAAUUCAGGACAUUUUUAAUAGUUUAAUUGUUACAGCCGACAUUUAGUAAACUGUUUUAAAUAUUUACCACUUGUCAUAGGGACGAGAUAAAGGGGUUUACGCGAGAAAGAAUGUUAAAUUAAUCACGGAGAAUUCAUUUGAAAAUGCUGAUUUCUAUCACGCCCUGUCUUAAUUUUGGUAAAGAAUACAAACAAACUUGAAGCAUUCACAUAACAAAAUCCUCAUAACAAAGAUAAUUCAAACCCAAUCGUGUCAUUAAACCUAGUAACUAUCACUAGUCCACAGAAUUUGCUACGCUAGGUUCUGUUAGUGGUAGUACUAUGUAUUGCCACUGGAUCUUGCUAUGAAUAGUUGUUGCAGUGAGAAUUCUAUAUGGUUUGUCUUAUUUGCGCUUGAAAGAUUUCGUUUCUCUUUUUAUUACCAAGCAAUUUAAGAAAAGGCAUGUUACUCGUAUUUGAUUGCCACUCUACAAAUAUUAGUGAUUAAACUUAUCUACAUUUUCGACAUUUUAUCAUAUAUGUUUCAGUUUAAAGCAGUAGAAUCUAUGAACCCUGUCAAACUAAUAUGGGCUUUUGAUAUUUCACAAUCUACUGAAAAUGCACUAAUUACUCACUCUCCUGAUUCCUGAAAUCAUGUAAUACAGUCUUGUCUCACCCUUGGGUAUGUUUCAGACUGCGAGGGUGGCAAGUAUCGAUGUCCCCGGUGUGGGAAGGGUUACAAGUACAGGCCAGGCCUGAGCCGUCACAAAGCUCAGUAUUGCGGUCAACAACCACGCUUCAACUGUCAUCUAUGUCCGUACCAGGCCCGCCAGAAGAUUCACCUCCAGAACCAUCUCGCCGCUAAGCACAUGCUGAUUACUGCGUAGAUCGGUGUACAACGACCAUCGGGUGCCUUCACACGUUUCGAACACUCUUAGACUAUUCGAUAUUCUGUCUCAAGGAGAAGAAGUUUCCAGCUAAAUUAAUAAAUGUAUGCAAGAUCCCUCUAUGUAUCCGUUCACCUGCCAGAUUUGCGGCAAAGCGUACAAGUACAAGAAAAACCUCAUACGUCACGUAAAACACGAGUGUAACAUGGAACCCAAGUUCACCUGUACGCUGUGCCCCUUUAAGAGCAAACAGCACGGCCACUUAAAGAUCCACAUGCUAAAAAAACAUUCUAUGAACUUUAAUAUUGCUUUAAUUCCUUAAUAUUGUUAUUUAAAUGUGGCAGCUAUGUUCCAAAUAUGUGAUUGUUUUUCAUUACUUAUAUUAAAAUAAUUCAGUUGUA
rnacentral:lncRNA from 1 species